GAUGAACGCUAGCGGGAGGCUUAACACAUGCAAGUCGAACGGCAGCACGGGCUUCGGCCUGGUGGCGAGUGGCGCACGGGUGCGUAACGCGUAUGCAACCUGCCUUAUGCAGGGGGAUAGCCCAUGGAAACGUGGAUUAAUACCCCAUAGAAUGACUUUUCUGCAUGGAAAAAUGAUUAAAACUUCGGUGGCAUAAGAUGGGCAUGCGUAUGAUUAGCUAGUUGGUGAGGUAACGGCUCACCAAGGCAACGAUCAUUAGGGGUUCUGAGAGGAUUAUCCCCCACACUGGUACUGAGACACGGACCAGACUCCUACGGGAGGCAGCAGUGAGGAAUAUUGGUCAAUGGGCGAGAGCCUGAACCAGCCAUCCCGCGUGCAGGAUGACGGCCCUAUGGGUUGUAAACUGCUUUUCUACGCCAAGAAACCUGGUUACGAGUAACCAGUUGCCGGUAGCGUAGGAAUAAGCAUCGGCUAACUCCGUGCCAGCAGCCGCGGUAAUACGGAGGAUGCAAGCGUUAUCCGGAUUCAUUGGGUUUAAAGGGUGCGCAGGUGGGCUUUUAAGUCAGUGGUGAAAUGCUGCCGCUUAACGGUAGAAUUGCCAUUGAUACUGAGA
rnacentral:rRNA from 1 species